AUGAAACCUUCCCUUGUGCCCACACUGUCAUUUCUAUCAAGGGUCCUUCAGGGAUUAAGAUGUAGCUCCCAGCUGCUGCCCCAGCACCUGCCUGCAUGCUGCCAUGCUCCCAACCCCAUGACUGUGAUGGACUAAACCUCUGAAACUGUAAGCAAGCCCCCAAUUAAAUGCUUUUUUUUUUUCGUCAGUGUCACCUCCUGCAUGGUGUCUCUUCACAGCACUAGAGCAAUGACUAAGACAGGGGGAACGUGGAUAGUGGCAAUGCCAACAUGUGGCCUGGCAUGAGUUCUUUAACCAUUUCUUCCUUGACCCCCGCUAGGCUACAGCUGGGGAGAUAGUUCAGGGGUGGAGCACCUGCUCAGGGUGUGUCAAGCCCGGAGUUCAAUCUCCAGUAAACAAAUGAAGUAAUAAAACCCAGAAAUGUAAUUAACUAAAUACACAAGCUAUCAUACUUCCCUAUGUUACUCUUAUUCCAAUCAUAUUGCUGUUCCAAAACCUUCCUAUUUCAAAACACCAGCGCCAUCCCGGACACGGACACUAGCUCUCCCUUGACCAAAGGCCAGGAAGGAGUCAGGAAAGCAGACCCAUCCAUGUAAGCUUUAUACAAAGGAAUAUCAGUAAGGACCAGUCUCUGACAAGGAGAGUGGAAAAAACAGUUUCCCGUUUUAAACAUCGCCAGUAGGGGCUACAAGACAGAACUUGUUAUUUCAGCCCGACGGCACCCAGUCUGCAUCCUGGGAUCUUCCUGUGCUAUAUAUACAGCGGGGCGUUAUUCAUGUACGUGAGCUGAUUGUUGAUGGAUUGAAGGGUUCUGAGGGCGCCAGCAAUGAUGAGAAAAUGGCUGUGGCUCUUUAUCACCCAUUGUCUGUUUCAUAAAUUGACAAUGGUGUAGAAAGCUAAUGAGACCCGGCUGGGGACUGACAGGUAGCACCUGGAGAAGGGAGCACUUUCAGGGACAACUUCCUGGAAGGAAAGCCUGCCUUCUUUCAAACUUUUCCUUGUGGAGUCCUGGAGAACUUGCUGUGGUUAUCGUUCUGAACAAUAUACAGUAAAAAACAUGAGCUCACAGACCCAGAUACGAUCGAAAGAUCGUUAUCUUUGUCUAUCUUCGUCAUCGGAUUGGCCAACUAUUUGUCAUUAACUGACUCCUAAGUUUCUGUUUGGGGGGAUAUUAGCAUGUUUCUUUAACCUCUCCCUCUUUCUUGGUUAAGAUAGCAACUUUUCCAACCUACUUUAAUAAGUAAAAUAUUGGGGCUGGAGAGAUGGCUCAGUGGUUAAGAAUACUGAUUGUUCUUCCAGAGGUCCUGAGUUCAAUUCCCAGCAAGCACAUGGUGGCUCGCAACCAUCUAUAACAGGAUCUGAUGCCCA
rnacentral:lncRNA from 1 species